GAAUAGACCAAACAUUGAUGAAGAUUUUAGUGUCCUUAGGGACGGUGUAACCGCCGACCACAGCUGUUUCAGCUGGACGGUGAGGGACUAACAAAGGAACGGUCGGGUAAAGCCUAAGUGUUUCUUUCAUAAUGGCUACUAUGUAAGGUAGUCUAGUGAUGUGUGAUUCUUCAACAAUGUUAUCCUUUCCUACAACUUCGUCUAGCUCUUGUUGCGCUCUCUUCAUCGACUCUGGGUUCUUUAUAAGCUCGGCCAUCGCAAACUCUAUCGUGUUUGUAGAUGUAUCAGUACCACCAAUCACCAUAUCCUUCGCAUAUACAGUACGUAUAUAACAAACAUGAAUCAAAAUCAUUCUCAUGAGCUAAGAGACAUGUUAUGAAACAAUUAAGGGCAAAUCUCUAAAAAUAACAUAAAAGAUUGUUUUUAUGACCAAAAGAACACAGAAAAAAUGACUAAAUUAAAUAUGUUUCAUUAAAAAGGUAAAUAACAAUUAUAUUUCUACUUAAAUAUUUUUAAAAGAGAUUUUCGCAAUAAACUGAAUUUUUUAUUUAAAAAAAAAUAUUCUAAUUUUUUCUCUCCAAAAGAACCAGAACAACCCAAAAUUAAACUCUUGGGGGAGGAGUAUAAAUGUCUUUUACUCUUCAAUAAAAUCUAUUUUAGUUAUUUUGAUUUUGAAAACUAUUUUUGUGAUAAAAACUUUUUAGUACUGCUAUAUUUCUCAACAGUUAAUUACCGCGAGAACAGCUUUGACAUGGUUAACCGUAAUGGGAACCUCCGAGUUGGCUUCUUGGUCCUUUAGCUUCAUCAACUGUUGCAAAAAGUCUUUGCACUCACCAUCAUCCUUACUUUCUAGUUUUGGCAUCUUCUCAAUGGCUCCGUCGAAUAUGGCAAGACAGUCAGUUUAGUGUUUCUUUGUUAUUUAUUACCCUGUUCUGCUGUUAAAAUCUUUGUUUGUUUUCCUUUUUAAGCUUGGGUGGAUCUCUUGAUCUUUUUUUCGGUUUCUCUUGUAUGUUGUGUAAGUUGACAGACGAAGCAAGAGUUCUGUGUUUCUUUGUAUGAUGUUUCAAGUAACUACACUUUUGAGAGAAAAGUUUGGGGUUGGGAUUAAACCAGUGUGGCUUUCAAUAUUCCCAGUUUUGCUCCCUUUUAUUUACAGCCCCUGUUUUGGUCUGCUUUAAGACAUUUAUUUUCCUACCACUCUACAACAGCGUGAAUGGUGAUGGGCUGUUGAUAACUUUAUGCCGGAAACUACUAUGUUAUCUGGCCUUGAAAUAUUUUUCUCGAAAAUUAAAGAAAAGAGAAUGAUAUCGAGCAGGUAUGAAGUGUUUAAAGUGAUUUUAAUUAAAAUUAUAAAUAAUUAUCAUUGAAAAAUAUAUAUGUUUUAUAAAUGAAAAUAUGUGUUUUUAAGUUUACAAUCUGAAAAAUAUUUUAAAUAGGUGAUUUAUAAAGAUUGAUCGUAACAUUAGUGUAUUUUGUUGUAAUUCUUAAACAAAACAUAAAAAUGAAAAAAUUAUUUUGGACUGGCUUUAAGAUAUUUUAAUUUCAUUAUAAUAUUUUUAAUUCAACUAAACUAUCUUAAACUCAUUAAAAACAUAAGAAAAAAAACUAGAUGAAUACACAUUUCUAGAUGUUUUUUUUUUUCCCAUAUAGAACUUAAAGAAAAAAACUAUAAACAUUUCGAAAAUUGGGUUCUUGGUAUUGUUAUGUUUUUAUUCAGACUUCUUUUGUUUCUUAGUUCGACUUGGGGCAUAACAGUCUGAACUACUCCUCGGCAAAAACUACAAAACCAAAUUCUAUAAAUCCGAUUCAGGUCGGGUACGGGUUUGAUUUCCAUCCUUCCCUCCGUCAGUUUGAAUACUCCGGCAAUGUUUUCUCGAUUCCUCCACAGGAUCCGAAGUUCAAAAACCCCAAUCACGUCUCUCAAUUCAAUCAAACCUUUCACCUCGCUCAACCCUAAACCCCCAACCCGAGUCGCCGUCUUCUGGGACCUAGACAACAAACCACCCGCCUCCCACCCUCCCCACGACGCCGCCGUAAAGCUCCGAACCGCCGCGUCAUCCUUCGGCUCCGUGAAACUAAUGGUGGCCUACGCGAACCGCCACGCCUUCAGCUACGUCCCCGCGCAAGUCCGAGAGGAGAGGAAAGAUCGGAGACUCCUUAACCAACUGGAGAAAACCGGUUUAGCUAAACCGGCCGAGCCGUACUUCUGCGGCGUCUGCGACCGGAGAUUCUACGCCAACGAGAAGCUCAUCGCUCAUUUCCGCCAGAUCCACGAGACGGAGAAUCAGAAGCGCGUGAGGCAGAUCGAGGCUGCUAAGGGGCAUCAGAGAGUGAGGCUUGUGGCCAAGUACUCGAUGAAGAUGGAGAAGUACAAACGAGCUGCGAGGAACGUUUUGACUCCUAAGGAAGGUUACGGUUUAGCUGAUGAGCUGAAGCGUGGCGGGUUUUGGGUUAAGAUGGUGAGUGAUAAGCCCGAGGCGGCGGAUAGAGCGUUGAAGGAGCAUAUGGUUGAUGUGAUGGAUAGGAGGGAGGCUGAGUGUUUGGUUCUCGUGUCUGAUGACUCUGGUUUCGCUGAGGUUUUGUGGGAGGCGAAGGAGAGGUGUUUGAGGACGGUGGUGAUUGGGGAUUUGAGUGAAGGGAAGCUGAAGAGGGUGGCUGACGUGGCGUAUUCGUGGAAGGAGGUUGUGAUGGGGAAGGCGAAGAAGGAAGUUGAGAAGGUUGUUGGGAAGUGGAGGGAUAGAGAUGUGUUGAAGACGUUGGAGUGGAGUUAUGAUCCUGUUUUGGAGAAGGAGAGAGGUUUUUGUUGCGGGGAUUGGGAUUAUGGGUUUGAUUCUGAUGGUGAUGAUGAUGAGGUUGAGAAUGGAGCUGAGAUGGGAGAUGGUGGUGAUUGGUGGGAGAUGGAUGAUGAAGAUGGUGCUGGAUCUUCGAGACCCUGUCGAUGAACCUCCAUAGCAUUGGUUGUACAGAUCGAGGAUAAAUCAGUACGAUCUUGUGAAGCUAUUGUCGUAUUACAUGGUUGGCAGUAGCAAAAGAGAAGAAAGAAGAAAACUGAGUGGGAGAGAUUGAAAAUUCUUCACUCUAGUAAGCUCUCUUUGAAAGUUUAUGUUCUUCAUUCAUUGUCUCUAGUUGUCUGAGAUUCUAUAGGCAGCGAUUCAAUUUGUUUUUCCAAACCAUCAAAUGGUUAGUCAGGAUAGAGAACAGGAUACGGUGCAUAGAAAGUUUUGGAUUUACAGAAUAGAUUGAAUUACUACAGAGUGUAUAUGCAUCAAAGUCCCUAGCUAGUUUAUUUUAAUUUUUUUCUGUUUUUGGUAAAUAAGGUAGAAGAACUACACUGUCCACCCUAGCAUCGGUUCGGUUUAUUAUAGUUUUUGUUUUUUUUUGUUUUUGUUCUAGAAAUAUAGGAUCCUUUUGGGUCUUUAGGAAAUCCAGUUAGAUUUUUGGUUCGGUUCGUGUAAUACAAAUGGGAAUCGGCUAAUACCCGAGAUAAUUUCGAAUCCAAUUCGGUUCCGAUUCGGUUCCAGUUUUUUGAGUUAAUGCGGGUGUUAAACAAGAAAAUUCAGGUUUUUAGAUUAAAUAUCAGAUUUUUAGUUUUUCGGAUAAAAACUCGUAUAUUUCGGAUAAUUUGAUAUAUUUUGGACAAAAAAUAUUCGGAUAAUUUGGUCUAUUUUAUUUUUAAAAUAUUUGAUUAUUUUAAAAUAGAAAAUUGUUAAUAUUUAUAAGUUAUAUAAAUUAUAGUAUCUGUUUGUGCAAUGAUAGGAUCUAAAUCCGAACCAAAAUCAUGUAAUUGUAAGCUAUCAAAAUUUAUAUUAAAGAAGUGUGGACUGAUAUGAAGCUAAUAUCAAAGCAUGUAAGUUAAACAAAUGCUCCUUAUUCAAUAAUUUUGUUAUUUUUAACCGAAACUGGUGAUUAUUUUUAUGACAAAAAACAUAGAUGACGUCCGAAAACUACAUAAACACAACGAUCUUAGCUUCUACCAAACAUAGGUUAGGAUCAGACAACCUUGAAACAGGCAUGGCAAUAAGAGGGUUUUUGAGCUUUAAGACAAUACCAAACUUGUCUUCCACAUUGAACACAUGGCCUUCUGGAAUCUUCAAAUCAAAUGAAUGUAACAGCGUGGCAAGAGUGUACUGAACCAUCCUCUCUGCUAGUGCUAAACCGGCGCAAAUCCUCCGGCCAGAUCCAAAAGGAAGAAAGCUAUAGUCAGUUCCAUGGAAAUCACAAGACUUCUUAUCAAGAAACCUCUCAGGAUGAAACUCAUUCGGAUUUUCCCACACGUUUGGAUCUCUCUGAAUAGACCAGACAUUGAUGAAGAUCUUAGUGUCCUUAGGGACUGUGUAACCGCCGACCACAGUUGUUUCUGCUGGACGGUGAGGGACUAACAAAGGAACGGUCGGAUAAAGCCUAAGUGUUUCUUUCAUAAUUGCUACUAUGUAAGGAAGUUUAGUGAUGUGUGAUUCUUCAACAAUGUUAUCUUUUCCUACAACUUCGUCUAGCUCAUGUUGCGCUCUCUUCAUCGACUCUUGGUUCUUUAUAAGCUCUGCCAUAGCAAACUC
rnacentral:lncRNA from 1 species